UACAUGGGGUGCAAACGUUGCUCGGAAUUAUUGGGCGUAAAGCGUGCGCAGGCGGUUCGUUGUGUCUGAUGUGAAAGCCCCGGGCUCAACCUGGGAAUGGCAUUGGAAACUGGCGAGCUAGAGUGUGGCAGAGGGGGGUGGAAUUCCGCGUGUAGCAGUGAAAUGCGUAGAGAUGCGGAGGAACACCGAUGGCGAAGGCAGCCCCCUGGGCUGACACUGACGCUCAGGCACGAAAGCGUGGGGAGCAAACAGG
rnacentral:rRNA from 1 species